CUACGGGCCGCAGCAGUAGGGAAUAUUGGGCAAUGGACGGAAGUCUGACCCAGCCAUCCCGCGUGCAGGAAGAAUGCCCUAUGGGUUGUAAACUGCUUUUGUUUGGGAAGAAAUGUACUUUUUCAAGAGUAUUUGACGGUACCAGACGAAUAAGCACCGGCUAACUCCGUGCCAGCAGCCGCGGUAAUACGGAGGGUGCAAGCGUUAUCCGGAAUCACUGGGUUUAAAGGGUGCGUAGGCGGCCAGAUAAGUCAGAGGUGAAAGUUUCCGGCUCAACCGGGAGAUUGCCUUUGAUACUGUUUGGCUUGAAUCAGAUUGAGGUUGGCGGAAUGUGACAUGUAGCGGUGAAAUGCAUAGAUAUGUCAUAGAACAUCGAUUGCGAAGGCAGCUGGCUGGAUCUGUAUUGACGCUGAGGCACGAAAGCGUGGGGAGCAAACAGGAUUAGAUACCCCCGUAGUC
rnacentral:rRNA from 1 species